UCGGUCGGCCGGACGGUCGCCGGAACAGGAUUCAGGGGUCGGGACUCGGUACAUCGGGACUGUGCGUUUCACCGUCCCGGGUGCCGGCUCCCAACCUCUGAGUCCCGUUCGGGAGGAAAGUCCGGGCUUCACAGGGCGCGGUGGUGGAUAACGUCCACCCUCGGUAACGGCGCGGGCGUCCCGGCUCGCGCCGCCAACGGGCGGGAAAGUGCAACAGAAAGUGUACCGCCUGGGCAGGAUUCAGGGGUCAGGAUUCAGGACUCGGGGCAGAAGCCGCAGUGAGGGUGUUCCAAUCCCGCUUGUGUUUUUCUUCCCGGAAUGCUGAAUCCUGCCCCCUGAGUCCUGUUCCAGGUAAGGGUGAAAAGGUGCGGGGCGCGAGCCCUUAAUGUAAGAGCGCACCAGCGGCGAGGUGACUCGUCGGCUCGGCAAACCCCACCGGAAGCAAGGUCAAGCAGAGGACAGGGUCGGCCCGACCCGUUAUGAUCCUCGGGUAGACUGCUCGAUCCCGUCGGUAACGGCGGGGCUAGAUAAAUGACCGUCACCGUCCGCAAGGGCGGGGACAAAACCCGGCUUACAGGCCGGCCGGCAGA
rnacentral:RNase_P_RNA from 1 species